rnacentral:rRNA from 1 species
GACGUAGGGGGCCAGCGUUGUUCGGAAUUACUGGGUGUAAAGGGUUCGUAGGCGGCCAUGCAAGUCGGGUGUGAAAUCUCGGAGCUUAACUCCGAAACUGCAUUCGAUACUGCCGUGCUUGAGGACUGGAGAGGAGACUGGAAUUUACGGUGUAGCGGUGAAAUGCGUAGAUAUCGUAAGGAAGACCAGUGGCGAAGGCGGGUCUCUGGACAGUUCCUGACGCUGAGGCACGAAGGCCAGGGGAGCAAACGGG